rnacentral:misc_RNA from 1 species
GAAAUGCGAUACUUGGUGUGAAUUGCAGAAUCCCGUGAAUCAUCGAAUCUUUGAACGCUUAUUGAUAUGCUUAAGUUCAGCGGGUAGUCUUACUUGAUUUGAGAUCGAGUUUACAAAGUCAGCCGCAAAGCUGUCUCUGUGAAUCCUGCAUCAGUCAGCACAAGAACUCAUCUCCUUUAUGUUAGCUGCAGCAAAGGUAAUAAUCUGUUUUUUAGGCAGACUAAAUAGAUAUGCUUAUAGCUCAGAGAAAAGUCCAGCUGCACCUGCAUUUCAAGUGACCCGCCACUUUCCAGUGAGAAAAGUGUUGGGAUCACUCAAGUCCAGCUCCCAUUUCAAAAAAGAAAAGGGAGUUGAGGUGUUUACUGAUACUCAAA